rnacentral:rRNA from 1 species
GCCUUUAGUGUUGACGUUACCAACAGAAUAAGCACCGGCUAACUCCGUGCCAGCAGCCGCGGUAAUACGGAGGGUGCAAGCGUUAAUCGGAAUUACUGGGCGUAAAGCGCGCGUAGGCGGUUUGUUAAGUCAGAUGUGAAAUCCCCGGGCUCAACCUGGGAAUGGCAUUUGAGACUGGCAGGCUAGAGUAUGGUAGAGGUGAGUGGAAUUUCAGGUGUAGCGGUGAAAUGCGUAGAGAUCUGAAGGAACAUCAGUGGCGAAGGCGACUCACUGGGCCAUUACUGACGCUGAGGUGCGAAAGCGUGGGUAGCAAACAGGAUUAGAUACCCUGGUAGUCCACGCCCUAAACGAUGUCAACUAGGUGUAUGGAGAAUUUAUUCUUUGUGUAUCGAAGCUAACGCGAUAAGUUGACCGCCUGGGGAGUACGGUCGCAAGACUAAAACU